CCUACGUGCGGCAGCAGUGGGGGAUAUUGCACAAUGGGGGGAACCCUGAUGCAGCGACGCCGCGUGGGUGAAGAAGCGCCUCGGCGCGUAAAGCCCUGUCAGCAGGGAAGAAAAUGACGGUACCUGAAGAAAAAGCAUCGGCUAACUCCGUGCCAGCAGCCGCGGUAAUACGGAGGAUGCGAGCGUUAUCCGGAUUUAUUGGGUGUAAAGGGUGCGUAGGCGGGAUGCCAAGUCAGCGGUAAAAAUGCGGUGCUCAACGCCGUCGAGCCGUUGAGACUGGCGUUCUUGAGGUGGCGAGAAGUAUGCGGAAUGCGUGGUGUAGCGGUGAAAUGCAUAGAUAUCACGCAGAACUCCGAUUGCGAAGGCAGCAUACCGGCGCCCUACUGACGCUGAGGCACGAAAGCGUGGGUAUCGAACAGGAUUAGAUACCCUUGUAGUC
rnacentral:rRNA from 1 species